rnacentral:rRNA from 1 species
UGGCGGCGUGCUUAAUACAUGCAAGUCAACUUGACUUAGAUAGCAAUAUCGAAAGUAGGGUGGCGCACGGGUGCGUAACGCGUAGGUAAUCUGCCCUGAGGUCUGACAUAACCCGUCGAAAGGCGGGCUAACAUCAGAUGAUAUAUAAUCACGACAUCGUGGAAAUAUCAAAUCUUCGGAGCCUUGGGAUGAGCCUGCGUCUGAUUAGGUAGUUGGCGGAGUAAUAGCCCACCAAGCCUACGAUCAGUAGCUGGUCUGAGAGGAUGAUCAGCCACACUGGAACUGAGACACGGUCCAGACUCCUACGGGAGGCAGCAGUAAGGAAUAUUGCUCAAUGGGGGGAAACCCUGAAGCAGCAACGCCGCGUGAAGGAUGAAAUACUUUUGUAUGUAAACUUCUGUAAGAUGGGAAAAAUAUUCUCCUCGGGAGAAUUGAUUGUACCAUCAGAGUAAGCCCCGGCUAACUACGUG